rnacentral:rRNA from 1 species
UACGAAGGGGGGCUAGCGUUGCUCGGAAUUACUGGGCGUAAAGCGCACGUAGGCGGUCUUUUAAGUCGGGGGGUGAAAUCCUGGAGCUCAACUCCAGAACUGCCUUCGAUACUGGAAGACUUUGAGUCCGGGAGAGGUGAGUGGAACUGCGAGUGUAGAGGUGAAAUUCGUAGAUAUUCGCAAGAACACCAGUGGCGAAGGCGGCUCACUGGCCCGGUACUGACGCUGAGGUGCGAAAGCGUGGGGAGCAAACAGGG